CGAGAAAGCCCGCAAGGGUGAGUAAAGCGGCGCACGGGUGCGUAACACGUGGGUAAUCUGCCUUGGAGUCCGGAAUAACUCGCCGAAAGGCGUGCUAAUGCCGGAUAAGACCACGGGAGCUUCGGCUCCUGCGGGAAAAGGUGGCCUCUGUAUACAAGCUAUCGUUCCAGGAUGAGCCCGCGGCCCAUCAGCUCGUUGGCGGGGUAAUGGCCCACCAAGGCUACGACGGGUAGCUGGUCUGAGAGGACGAUCAGCCACACUGGAACUGAGACACGGUCCAGACUCCUACGGGAGGCAGCAGUGGGGAAUCUUGCGCAAUGGGCGAAAGCCUGACGCAGCAACGCCGCGUGUGUGAUGAAGGUCUUCGGAUCGUAAAGCACUGUCGCGAGGGACG
rnacentral:rRNA from 1 species